rnacentral:lncRNA from 1 species
UGGGUCUUGAUAAGUUGUAUGAGAAGUCUGACAUGGAGGACUGGGUUCAACCUCUCCGUAAUUGGGGGUCCGUUACUUGUCUGUUGCUGUGAUAAAAACAUUCUAACAAGGCAGCUCACACAAGGAAGAGUUUAUCUCAGCUUCUGGAUUCGGAGGGCUAAGAGCCCAUCAUGGUGGGUUGGCAUGACAGCACAUAGUAGGCACGGCAGCAGGAAGUUGAAAGCUCACAGUUUGAACCACAGCACAAAGCAGAGAGAACAGAAUGAAAGUGGGCAGAGCUUUUUAAUUAGCCCGCCUCCCCACUCCCUGCAGCAUACUUUCUCCAUCAGGGCUGCACCACCUACAGCUCCCCAGACAGCACCACCAGCCAACUGGGGAGAGAGUGUUUAAGUGCCUGAGGCUGUGGGGGACAUUUCUCAUUCAAACCACUAUACUUGGUCUCUGAAUUGUCUCAAAGCUUGUCCACCACUUUCCGGCCAAACAGGCAAGCCAUUCGACAGCUGGAUCUUCAACCAACUAAUUAAUGUUUGGUAUGAUGUAUAGGUAUUUUUAUGAAUAUGGUGUGUGUCUGUGAUGGAUGCACGUGAGUCUGACUGCUCAGGAAGGCCAAAAGAGCAUAAGGCGUUCUAUUCACUACACUCUGCUUUGUCCCUUUGAGAUGCAGUCUCUCACUAACCCUGGAGCUGGUUGGGGUUGGAGGGCAGCGAGCCUCCGUGAUACUCUUAUCCUCCGUGCUGAGGUCAGAGACAUGCAUGGGCAUGCUCAGCAUUUUACAUAGUUGCUAGGAUUCAAAAUCAGAUGUUCAUGCUUAUGCAGCAAGGCAAAGCCACUGAGUCUAGCCACUGGGCCACCUUUCCAGCCCCCGGUAGCUUUAUCCUCUGUAGUGGGAUAUCCACAGUUGGAUGCUGUUGGUAGAGAAUGUUGAUGUCAGAGGAUCAUGUUUGGGCUCUCUUUGUUUAUAUCCAUUUCUGAU